AACUGAAACAAUGGAAACGGAUGAAGCCGACGUAUCUAGUGCGUAUUCAGUUGAUUGGCUGGCUGAUCUCUUUUUGGGUAUUCCGCAAGGUUGCUCGAUUUGAGUUGUUGGUUGGUUUGUCGAUGCAUUUGCGUGCAGAGUGCGGUGAGUCGGUUGAUGCCGUCGAUUGAAGUUGCUUGAGAGGACGUGCUUUUCGGAGUUGCGAAACCUUUUGCUUCGGAUGUUGAUUGGUGUUAGCCGGAUUUGUGACACAGGCCCGAGCGGGUCUGGUUUGGCUGUUGAGGCUGGCUUAUGGUGGACGCAUGCGUACGCUGUUUGACGGUUUUGACGGUUGAGCUGGAUUCUCUGUGUUCAUCUCGCUGUAUAGUUGGUCACUCAUUCGACCCGUCUUGAAACACGGACCAAGGAGUUUAUGGUGCAUGCGAGUCAUUGGGCUCUUCUUUGAAACCCAUAGGCGUAAUGAAGGUGAAAUUGUAUGGAUUUAGAUGUGAUCGGUUGUGUGUUUCGGCAUGCUCCGAGCAACAUCGCCCCAUUUCGAGAACUUGUUCUGUUGUGGAGGCUGAGCAUGCGCUAUGAGACCCGAAAGAUGGUGAACUAUGCCUGAACAGGAUGAAGCCAGAGGAAACUCUGGGUGGAAGUCCGAAGCGGUUCUGACGUGCAAAUCGAUCGUCUGAUUUUGGUAUAGGGGCGAAAGACUAAUCGAACUAUCUAGUAGCUG
rnacentral:rRNA from 1 species